rnacentral:rRNA from 1 species
GACCUCAGAUCAGGCAAGACUA